CGGGGCCAGGGAGAGCGCGUGACUGGCGCCCGGGUCACGUGACACGCCCGACCGGGCCUCCAAGAUGGCGGUGUGCGUGGCGGUGAUCGCCAAGGAGAAUUACCCUCUUUACAUCCGCAGCGCCCCCACAGAGAAUGAGCUGAAGUUCCACUACAUGGUACACACAUCCCUGGACGUGGUGGAUGAGAAGAUCUCCGCGAUGGGGAAGGCCUUGGUGGACCAGAGGGAGCUCUACCUGGGCCUGCUGUACCCCACAGAGGACUACAAGGUAUACGGCUACGUGACCAACUCCAAGGUGAAGUUCGUCAUGGUGGUGGACUCCUCCAACACGGCGCUGCGAGACAACGAGAUCCGCAGUAUGUUCCGGAAGCUGCACAAUUCCUACACAGAUGUGAUGUGCAACCCUUUCUACAACCCUGGGGACCGCAUUCAGUCCAGUGAUCCCCACAUGGAUUCCGACAUGUGAGAAGAGGAUGGGGCAGCAGGCCAGGGCACACACCCUGCCCUCUUGGUUUCCCGCGUAUGCCCCGGCCUUUGACAGCAUGGUGACGUCUAUGAUGAUACAAGUGUGUUGAGCGAGAACUCCGCGGCCGUUGCUUGAAGACAAGCACUGUGUACAUAAGCCAUCGUCCAGAUGGAUGUUUACUAUCCCGUGCCUGUUCCUGAGCGUCCCUGCUGCUGGGGGCAAGGCCUCGGGCACGGUGCGUGGAGACUAAAGGUCUUCUGAGAUCA